AGAAGACUUGCUGACCCUAGCUGAUUGAAUAAUAGCUGCUAAAUGUUGUCUUACUAUGCACCAGGUCCCCUAUAAAAAGGAACCUUACAUCAGGUUAUACUGGCAUUGGUGUUUUGCCCAGAUGUUGUGAAGUGCCUAUCUUGAUAAAGGUCCACAUAUGGACCGAAACGUCGAUGAUUGACUGCAUCAUUUUUUGAACCUGAUUAAACUGAGUUGAUUCAA